rnacentral:rRNA from 1 species
AUGGAUUGCGGGCUCGACGACAUGGGCUAUAUCAGUGAGAUCUUCACUUGGAGGAGAGGAGAAAUACGUGAACAUCUUGACCGGGCAGUCUGCAAUAUAGCGUGGGCAAAUAAAUUCCCUAGAACGGUGGUGAUCAAUGAAGAACAUGUCCACUCUAACCAUCGCCCAAUCGUUCUGGACACGGAAUAUUUGGAUGGAAAAAUAUUUAAACGUCCGGAGGGGCGUGUUAAACAAUUUGAGGCGAGGUGGAUGAAGGAAGAGACGGUGACUGGAAUUGUUAAGGCGUCGUGGGAGAAAGCAAAGCUCGCAGGUAUUGGACCUUCACUUGCGGACCGUACGAGAAUAGUGCAUAUCGAUCUACAUACUUGGGAUUGGGAAACUCUAAAGGGACCAAAGGUGAGAAUUAGGAAACUAAAAAGGAACUAG